rnacentral:rRNA from 6 species
UAAAACGACUCUCGGCAACGGAUAUCUCGGCUCUCGCAUCGAUGAAGAACGUAGCGAAAUGCGAUACUUGGUGUGAAUUGCAGAAUCCCGUGAACCAUCGAGUCUUUGAACGCAAGUUGCGCCCCAAGCCUUCUGGCCGAGGGCACGUCUGCCUGGGUGUCACAA